GACGAACGCUGGCGGCGUGCUUAACACAUGCAAGUCGAACGGUGAAGGGAUCAGCUUGCUGGUUCUGGAUGAGUGGCGAACGGGUGAGUAACACGUGAGUAACCUGCCCCCUUCUUCUGGAUAACCGCAUGAAAGUGUGGCUAAUACGGGAUAUUCUGCGCCUGCUGCAUGGUGGGUGUGGGAAAGAUAUUGUUUCGGUGGGGGAUGGGCUCGCGGCCUAUCAGCUUGUUGGUGGGGUGAUGGCCUACCAAGGCGGUGACGGGUAGCCGGCCUGAGAGGGUGGACGGUCACACUGGGACUGAGACACGGCCCAGACUCCUACGGGAGGCAGCAGUGGGGAAUAUUGCACAAUGGGCGCAAGCCUGAUGCAGCGACGCCGCGUGAGGGAUGGAGGCCUUCGGGUUGUGAACCUCUUUCGCCAGUGAAGCAGGCCUGUCCCUUGUGGGUGGGUUGACGGUAGAUGGAUAAGAAGCGCCGGCUAACUACGUG
rnacentral:rRNA from 1 species